rnacentral:rRNA from 1 species
UACGUAGGGUGCAAGCGUUUGUCCGGAAUUAUUGGGCGUAAAGAGCUCGUAGGCGGUUCGUCACGUCGGCUGUGAAAUCCCGAGGCUCAACCUCGGGUCUGCAGUCGAUACGGGCGGACUGGAGUACUGCAGGGGAGACUGGAAUUCCUGGUGUAGCGGUGAAAUGCGCAGAUAUCAGGAGGAACACCGGUGGCGAAGGCGGGGUCUCUGGGCAACAACUGACGUGAGGAGCGAAAGCGUGGGGAGCGAACAGG